GGCUGGUCCCAGUGCAGUGGUGUUUACAACUAAUUGAUCACAACCAGUUACAGAUUUCUUUGUUCCUUCUCCACUCCCACUGCUUCACUUGACUAGCCUUAA
ensembl:misc_RNA Y_RNA Y RNA